ACCAAACCCAGUGAUAUUGAACACAUAGAUAGUGUAGCAUAGAAUGAAUAUAUAAUAAUCUCCAUUUCCAUUUGAUUUGAUGAACCGAGACGACGAGAGAAAACGCAGAUUCAACGAAGCAAUUGUUAACACGCUCUAUCCUCCUCCUCCUCCUCCACCUCAACAAGUAAGUAACUAUUCAUUCUCUCUUGCAUUGCAUUCUUCAAUAUUUCAAUUCAAUGCUUUAUAAUAUACAUUCUCAUCUUCACUAAUUUAUCUCAACAGGAUUUCGAACCUGCGGUAGAACACUUCCAGUCUUACUCCAACGUUAUUUCAGG
rnacentral:lncRNA from 1 species